rnacentral:rRNA from 1 species
GAUGAACGCUGGCGGCGUGCCUAAUACAUGCAAGUCGAGCGGACGGACGAGAAGCUUGCUUCUCUGAUGUUAGCGGCGGACGGGUGAGUAACACGUGGAUACCCUACCUAUAAGACUGGGAUAACUUCGGGACACCGGAGCUAAUACCGGAUGAUAUUUUGAACCGCAUGGUUCAAAAGUGAAAGACGGUCUUGCUGUCACUUCUCGAUGGAUCCGCGCUGCAUUAGCUAGUUGGUAAGGUAACGGCUUACCAAGGCAACGAUGCGUAGCCGACCUGAGAGGGUGAUCGGCCACACGGGAACUGAGACGCGGUCCAGACUCCUACGGGAGGGCGCAGUAGGGAAUCUUCCGCAAUGGGCGAAAGCCUGACGGAGCAGGGCCGCGUGAGUGAUGAAGGUCUUCGGAUCGUAAAACUCUGUUAUUAGGGAAGAACAUAUGUGUAAGGAACCGUGCACAUCUUGACGGUACCGAAUCAGAAAGCCCCGGCUAACUACGUG